CGGCCAACACAAGGAAAAAAAAAAGAAAUUUUUUUUAGCUCAUCAAUCCUUGAUCCAAAAACUAUAAUUUUCUAGUAUUCCUACUAAGCUCAAGACCCUCUUCAACGUGGUAUAAUUUUUUAGGCAAGAAAGUACUUUUGUUGGCAAGUGGAAAUUCUUGAAAAAGAUAUUGGAGAACCCGAGACUUGAUUCGGGAUUUGACUAGCGAGCGAUCGAGGUACAGACACUUAUUGUGGUGAUCCGCCAGUCUAGGGUGCCGUUCUGCUACUUGGAGUGCUCCUUUGAUCCGGAGCCCACAUUUUUGGUACAGAUCUUUCCGUUGUACAUAUUUAUGUGUAUGUGACUAGUCAGGGGUACGACGGGGCCCUGUCCCGUCAUAUGUUUCUGUUAUGGUUUGUAGAGGCCUGUAGACAUGUAUGUGGGUCGUGGGUCGCAUUAGAUCUGUGAUGUAUGUAUGGUUUGCGUCCAGUUUUCUUAUAUACUACAAUAACCUGAUUUAUUUAGGUGUUAUAAUG